GUGAGGAGCAGCUCAUAGCGUAUAUUAAAGUUGUUGCGGUAAAAAAGCUCGUAGUUGAAUUUCUGUUGAGAAGGAACGGUCCAUACCACGUAUGCGUAUCUGUCUUCUUCUCGGCAUCUUCUCGGACGUCGUUGCUGCGCUUAGUUGCGUGGCGCGAACCUCGGGACUUUUACUUUGAGGAAAUUAGAGUGUUCACGGCAGGCUAUCGCCAGAAUACAUUAGCAUGGAAUAAUACUAUAGGAUCUAGGUUCUAUUUUGUUGGUUUCUAGAAUUUAGAUAAUGGUUAAUAGGGACAAUUGGGGGCAUUAGUAUCAACACGUCAGAGGUGGAAUUCUUGGAUUGUGUUGCGACUAACUACUGCGAAAGCAUCUGUCAAGGAUGUUUUCAUUGAUCAAGAACGAAAGUAAGGGGAUCGAAGACGAUUAGAUACCGUCGUAGUCUUUACCAUAAACUAUGCCAACUAGAAAUCUGCAAACGUUCAUUUACGACUUUGCAGGCGUCUUUCGAGAUAUCAAAGUUUUUGGGUUCCGGGGGGAGUAUGGUCGCAAGAUUGAAACUUAAAGGAAUUGACGGAAGGGCACCACCAGGAGUGGAGCCUGCGGCUUAAUUUGACUCAACACGGGGAAACUCACCAGGUCCAGACAUAAUAAGGAUUGACAGAUUGAUAGCUCUUUCUUGAUUUUAUGGGUGGUGGUGCAUGGCCGUUCUUAGUUCGUGGAGUGAUUUGUCUGCUUAAUUGCGUUAACGAACGAGACCUUAACCUGUUAAAUAGAAGCGCCUAUCUCCGGAUAAGCGGCAUUCUUCUUAGAGGGACUGUCUGCGUUUCAGCAGGCGGAAGUUUGAGGCUAAAACAGGUCUGUGAUGCCCUUCGAUGUUCUGGGCUGCACGCGCGCUACACUGAUGCGUUCAACGAGUGUACAACCUGGCCCGAUAGGGUUGGGUAACCUUUUGAACACGCAUCGUGAUGGGGAUAGAUUAUUGCAAUUAUUAAUCUUCAACGAGGAAUUCCUAGUAUGGCAAAUCAUCAGUUUGUCGUGAUUACGUCCCUGCCCUUUGUACACACCGCCCGUCGCUCCUACCGAUUGAAGCA
rnacentral:rRNA from 1 species